AUUGAACGCUGGCGGCAGGCCUAACACAUGCAAGUCGAGCGGAUGAGAAGAGCUUGCUCUUCGAUUCAGCGGCGGACGGGUGAGUAAUGCCUAGGAAUCUGCCUGGUAGUGGGGGACAACGUUCCGAAAGGAGCGCUAAUACCGCAUACGUCCUACGGGAGAAAGCAGGGGACCUUCGGGCCUUGCGCUAUCAGAUGAGCCUAGGUCGGAUUAGCUAGUUGGUGAGGUAAUGGCUCACCAAGGCGACGAUCCGUAGCUGGUCUGCGAGGAUGAUCAGUCACACUGGAACUGGGACACGGUCCAGACUCCUACGGGAGGCAGCAGUGGGGAAUAUUGGACAAUGGGCGAAAGCCUGAUCCAGCCAUGCCGCGUGUGUGAAGAAGGUCUUCGGAUUGUAAAGCACUUUAAGUUGGGAGGAAGGGCAGUAAGUUAAUACCUUGCUGUUUUGACGUUACCGACAGAAUAAGCACCGGCUAACUCUGUGCCAGCCGCCGCCGUAAGAC
rnacentral:rRNA from 1 species